CAUUGCAUUGUUACAUUUUUCACUUCUCUGCAGUGCAACUCAACUGAUGCAAACUGUGUCGAAUGCGGCUUACCCAUUUAUAGAGUGCUUGUGCGAAUUUGGUGCUUUGAAUGUUCGUUGUAUGUCGGCAGUGUUGUGCUUAUGGUUGCGAGUCUGUCGUUGAACCGUUUCUGUGAUGCAUCCCGUGCUCGGUUUUAGUCGGCGCUGACGCUGAAGUGGCAUGUUACAUCCUUGACUGUGCUUGCGCGCGAAGCUUUCUAAAGAAAUGCCGGGCGAUAAAUGGCCAGCGCACUGUCCAUAUAAUGUUGUCCACUUCUAAAGCUGGUUAGGAAUGAACGCACCCCAGCAUUCCUGUGUGUUGACUCAACCAUGGCAGUUCUAGUGCAGUGACUGAAUAGUGGAAGCAAAAGACUGUUGUGACAGUGUUGCAGUCUUAUUACUCCCAAGCCAAAUGGGAUAAAAAAAUGUUUUGUUUAGUCACCUUAACCUUUUAUGAAAUGCAUGUGGUAGUCAGAGAGAUUGUCAAGUGUAAGAGAUGUGACAUUUGAUAACCUUGUGUUGUGAACUUACACAUAGAAAGGUGCUUUGAUAUGUGUUUGGCUAACCUUGGUGGUAUGCUUCUUUAUUGUAUUGAGCCCCAAUUUAGAGCUUUCAUGUUUCCAAUUUGCAUAUACUUAGUUGUGAGCACUUUGUUGCUGCAGUAGCUGAAUUCAUACUGCUAAAACUAUGAAGUUGGGCUGAGAGCUUCUGCUGAUUGUAUUUUUGUGUGCUGCUUUGUGUGUUUUCUUUCAUUGCUGACAGUUUACAUAACGAUAUUUCAUGCAGUCUCAUAUUUGUGUGCACCAUUUAAAAAUUUACUUGUAAACAUUGCAGCUGCAAUGCUAUGAAGUUCAUCAAUGCCAGUAAUGUCAGAUGCAGCCUGCUUCUUAGCUCUGUACAUUUUUCUUUUUUGUAGUUGCUUUGCCUACUGUAUUCAUGUUAAUAUGCUUCUUGAUUGUAAAGCUCUAUCUUGCUGUUGAAAAAAAAGGUAGAAUCAGACUAGCCUGUGUAACACAUGACUAUUUAUGUUUUGAAUUCUAAUAAUGAAAAGCUUUUAAACCUUUAGCAACAGGUCUCAUCAAUUGCAGCGCAGCAAAAAAAAGAAAAAAAGUAGGCCUCAAGUUGUUUUGCAAAAAAAAAAAUAGUUUUAGCAUUUGCCAACAAUAGAAUGUAGUUUGUUUUGUUUUUCGGUCAUUCCUGAUUGUGACAUAAUCUGUUCCAUUCAUGCAGGUCAAAUUGUGUUUGCCAUUUGCCGUAAGCCUCCUAAAGGGCCCUAGCUGUGCAGCUCUCCUCGGGAGCAAUGCAGCAUUUUGUUUUUCACAGCACCUUCUUUGGUACAAUCCACGGCACACACAACACAUUUGACAUUGCUAGAAACAAGUUGCCGGAACUUGCAUUUCCAAUAGGCAACAGAAUUUCAUAAUCCACUGUGAAGAAAGUGACUGUCAUUUAAAUCAUCACCAAGCAGAAUUGCAGAAUAUCUUUUAAUCUCCUGAUUGUUGCAGUAAUGACUCUCCAGAAAUAAGAUAAUGGGGAUGUAAAAAUGAAAGAAGUUACAACAUCACACCGCAUUGCACAAAAGUUCGGCUUUUUGAUGUUUGCACAAAUGUUGUGCAAACGUAAUGCUUGUGACGGAAAUGUUAACACAAAAUUAUGCAAAUAGAAUAAUUUUAUUC
rnacentral:misc_RNA from 1 species